AGAAGUGAGUGCUAUAUAAAUAAUGUAGUUAGUUGUGCAAGAAAUAUUUUGUGAUGCAAGAAAAAUGGAGCACCCUUAGAAGUCACGAGCGGCGGAUCGGAUAGUAAUUGAAAGGUUCAGACCAAUGUUUUUAUUCGUAUUGGAAAGCAAAAUGAAGCUGCUUUGGAAAUAAUUUUGCAAUUGAAAUCAGUCGGAGCCCCUGACAAAUCUAGUGUUCAUUGGUUGAAGUUAAUAAUCUGAGGAAACUCAUUCAUUAACACAAUAACUAGGUUUGAGUGUCAUAUUGCUUUAAGACAGUUUACAAUGUUUUUAUAUUUCUUCAAAUGCUUUCAUCUGACAUCAUCACUGUCAUUUUAAGACUGUAGAAGUGAUUUUGAUUGGUGGCCAUCAAAUGAAAAAGCGACAUGUCUCAUUAAAUAUCGAGCAUUUAGUAAAUAUUCCAAAGAUGU